UAUUGCUCUGUUAUGAAACGCAACAUUGCAGUGAAAUAACGGGAGACAAUCGUUUACAAGACAAUGAAGAAAGAGACAAUUUGCUUUUAACCUCCAGAAAUGUUGCUGCAGCAUGGGAUGGAGAACACGUUCCAGCCUUUUUCCCACGGGGUUAUUGUCUGGUUUUCGUGUCCGGCUCAGCAACUUGGUGUUGUAAUCUAUG